rnacentral:rRNA from 1 species
GUGCCAGCAGCCGCGGUAAUACGUAGGGGUCUAGCGUUGUCCGGAAUCAUUGGGCGUAAAGAGCUCGUAGGCGGUUCGAUUAGUCGGGUGUGAAAUCUCCACGCUCAACGUGGAGGGGCCACUCGAUACUGUCGUGACUCGAGUCCGGUAGGGGAGUUCGGAAUUCCCGGUGUAGCGGUGAAAUGCGCAGAUAUCGGGAGGAACACCAGUGGCGAAGGCGGAACUCUGGGCCGGAACUGACGCUGAGGAGCGAAAGCGUGGGGAGCGAACAGGAUUAGAUACCCUGGUAGUCCACGCCGUAAACGUUGGGCACUAGGUGUGGGACUCUAUCGACGGGUUCCGUGCCGUAGCUAACGCAUUAAGUGCCCCGCCUGGGGAGUACGGCCGCAAGGCUAAA